UACGUAGGUGGCGAGCGUUGUCCGGAUUUACUGGGCGUAAAGGGAGCGUAGGCGGUUUUUUAAGUGGGAUGUGAAAUCCCUGGGCUUAACCCAGGAAUUGCAUUCCAUACUGGGAAACUAGAGUGCAGGAGAGGAAAGUGGAAUUCCAAGUGUAGCGGUGAAAUGCGUAGAGAUUUGGAGGAACACCAGUGGCGAAGGCGACUUUCUGGACUGUAACUGACGCUGAGGCUCGAGAGCGUGGGGGAGCAAACAGG
rnacentral:rRNA from 1 species